rnacentral:rRNA from 1 species
GCCUACGGGGGGCAGCAGUGGGGGAUAUUGCACAAUGGGGGGAACCCUGAUGCAGCGACGCCGCGUGGGUGAAGGAGCGUUUCGGCGCGUAAAGCCCUAUCGGCAGGGAAGAAGAUGACGGUACCUGACCAAGAAGCCCCGGCUAACUACGUGCCAGCAGCCGCGGUAAUACGUAGGGGGCAAGCGUUAUCCGGAUUUACUGGGUGUAAAGGGAGCGUAGGCGGUUUAGCAAGUCAGAAGUGAAAGCCCGGGGCUCAACUCCGGGACUGCUUUUGAAACUGUUGGACUAGAUUGCAG